UACGUAGGGUGCGAGCGUUGUCCGGAAUUAUUGGGCGUAAAGAGCUCGUAGGCGGUCUGUCGCGUCGAUCGUGAAAACUUGGGGCUUAACCCUGAGCUUGCGGUCGAUACGGGCAUGACUGGAGUUCGGCAGGGGAGACUGGAAUUCCUGGUGUAGCGGUGAAAUGCGCAGAUAUCAGGAGGAACACCGGUGGCGAAGGCGGGUCUCUGGGCCGAUACUGACGUGAGGAGCGAAAGCGUGGGGAGCGAACAGG
rnacentral:rRNA from 1 species